UCCAAAUACACCACUAAUUAACUAUGUUUAUUUUAUGCUGCAUUAUUAAUUGAUGAGCUUCGUUUUCUCAUUCCAUUUUAUAGUUUCAGAUACUGUUUAUGUCUUUCUACUUUAUAUAUUCAUAAUUCUAACUACACCAAUUUAUUAAUUGGAUUACUAUUUUUUUUCACCUUCAAAUUCCUAAUUCAUUAAUACUCACCCUCUUGUUG
rnacentral:lncRNA from 1 species